ACGCACGCUGGCGGCGCGCCUAAUACAUGCAAGUCGAACGGAGCUGAGAGAAGCUUGCUUUUCUUAGCUUAGUGGCGAACGGGUGAGUAACGCGUGAGUAACCUGCCCUGGAGUGGGGGACAACAGUUGGAAACGACUGCUAAUACCGCAUAAGCCCACGAUCCGGCAUCGGAUUGAGGGAAAAGGAUUUAUUCGCUUCAGGAUGGACUCGCGUCCAAUUAGCUAGUUGGUGAGGUAACGGCCCACCAAGGCGACGAUUGGUAGCCGGACUGAGAGGUUGAACGGCCACAUUGGGACUGAGACACGGCCCAGACUCCUACGGGAGGCAGCAGUGGGGGAUAUUGCACAAUGGGGGAAACCCUGAUGCAGCGACGCCGCGUGGAGGAAGAAGGUUUUCGGAUUGUAAACUCCUGUCGUUAGGGACGAUAAUGACGGUACCUAACAAGAAAGCACCGGCUAACUACGUG
rnacentral:rRNA from 1 species